GGGCAGGGGGCUAUAAAGCGGAGUGCUGGCGUGCGGCGGCGCACUGCACUCGGCACGAAACAGCGCCCGCACACCACACGGAUUAUGAAGGUCUUCGUCCUACUCGCUGUGGCGCUUGUCGCCUACGCUUCGGCGGAUGAGGCGGCCCGGGAGCGGGCUAAGGCCAUCAAGAAGGAAUGCAAGGAGCAGGCUGGUGCCACAGACGAUGACCUGAAAGAGCUAAAAGAAAAGGAUGAGCUACUGUCGCCAGUGAACAAGAAACUGAUGGCCUGUGUCUUUUCAAAAAACAAAAUCAUGCAAAACAACAAGUUCUCCAAGGAAGGCUCGAUGGAGGUGGCGCGCGAACUCAUGAGCGGCCGGCCCGAGAGCGAGACGAAGCUCAAGAUCGCCGAGCAGAUUGCCGACAACUGCGCCAAAGAGAUUGGAAACGUGGAGACUACCGGCGACGAAAUGGCAAAACUCAUCUUCAACUGCCUAAAGAAACAAGCGAAAGAGUACCGAAAAGCGAUGGCAACCGUUCCAAAUCAAGACAUCAGCCAGUCUUCAUGAUAUAUGCUGGACUUCGCGGCAGGAAAAUUGCUGGAUCUGCAAAUCACUGAGAACGACACAGUGCGAGAGAGGCUUCCAAUCUCCUCACGUCUGAAGUCAAGACAAAUACGCUCCAGUUUUUUCCCUCCUCAAAUACCACUUUUUCAUACAUGUUCAAUAAAUGUAUUAAAACAUCAA